GAUUUUUUUUGCCUGAAAUUACCUGAUUACCUGGUCAGGUAAUCGUAAGUUCCCUUCUUUUUCUUUUCAUCAUUUUCAUUGGUCAUCCAGCACAUCCGUUUUUAACAGAUCGCAGAUCAGCGAGUAUUUAUCGCUAUUUUGCAGCCAAAUGGCGUAUAGCGGCCGUGAAAGCGUUGCGCUGUCUGCAACGGUAUGUAAUCCGCCCUUUUCAUUUACCCAGUUUACAGGAAGCCAGCUACAGCCAUUUAAUGCGCUAAGCUGCUGUCGGGCGAGUUCGGCUGAGCUGGUUGUUAAUACCGGCACUUCAUCUGCUGCGAUCAGCCCUGUUUCAUGCUGUUGGAAGUCUGGUCCCCACUCCAGCCGCAGAUAAUUGAGUUCUGAUUUCUUACGGGCAGGGCUGCUGCAAUAUAACGCCAAAGUGAAGUGCCCUAACAGCUGACUGCUGAACUCAUCCAUUUUGGGCGCUUCGGUAGUAAUGAGGAGAUCAAGCUGGCGUUCAUGAAGUUGCUUCACAAGCGAUUGCCGUUGAGCGAUUCUGGCUUCGAACUGCAGGCCGCUUUGCGGCUCCUGUAGUUGGUACAGUCGCCCCAGCCAGGCGUUAAGCAUACACUCCCAUAAAGACGCGCUGGCGCCGAUGGAAAACUCGUUAUGGCGUGAGGUAUGCGCCACCUCUUUACGUGCCGCCUGCCACGUAUUCAUCAGCGUUUCCGCAUACGGUAAAAGUUUUUCGCCAGCCGUGGUUAAACGGAUAUUGUUUCUGUGCCGCGUAAAAAGGUUUACGCCCAGUUGAUUCUCCAGUUGCCUGAUACGAAAGCUCACCGCGGAUUGCGUCAGGUAAAGUGCUUCUGCGGCCCGCCCGAAAUGGCGUGUCCGGCUAACUUCCAGGAAAGUUUUUAACAAUUCCGUAUCCACUGUGCUCUCCACAAAAUUAUUUGUCGUUAUGAUUUAAAUGUUUUGUUUUACACUCUGUCAAGCGUAACUAAUACUCCGCGCCAUAAAUAGCUCAGACAAAGAAUUAGGAGCGUGCAGGAUGGCGGAAAGCUUUACGACGACUAAUCGAUAUUUUGACAAUAAACAUUAUCCACGUGGAUUCUCUCGUCACGGUGAUUUCACGAUUAAAGAGGCACAACUGCUUGAGCGUCAUGGUCAUGCCUUUAAUGA
rnacentral:rRNA from 1 species